rnacentral:rRNA from 2 species
AACACGUGGGUAACCUGCCCUAAAGUGGGGGAUAACAUUUGGAAACAGAUGCUAAUACCGCAUAAAACCUAACACCGCAUGGUGUAGGGUUGAAAGAUGGUUUCGGCUAUCACUUUAGGAUGGACCCGCGGUGCAUUAGUUAGUUGGUGAGGUAAAGGCUCACCAAGACCGUGAUGCAUAGCCGACCUGAGAGGGUAAUCGGCCACACUGGGACUGAGACACGGCCCAGACUCCUACGGGAGGCAGCAGUAGGGAAUCUUCCACAAUGGACGAAAGUCUGAUGGAGCAACGCCGCGUGAGUGAAGAAGGUUUUCGGAUCGUAAAACUCUGUUGUUGGAGAAGAAUGUAUCUGAUAGUAACUGAUCAGGUAGUGACGGUAUCCAACCAGAAAGCCACGGCUAACUACGUGCCAGCAGCCGCGGUAAUACGUAGGUGGCAAGCGUUGUCCGGAUUUAUUGGGCGUAAAGCGAGCGCAGGCGGUUUCUUAAGUCUGAUGUGAAAGCCUUCGGCUCAACCGAAGAAGUGCAUCGGAAACUGGGAAACUUGAGUGCAGAAGAGGACAGUGGAACUCCAUGUGUAGCGGUGAAAUGCGUAGAUAUAUGGAAGAACACCAGUGGCGAAGGCGGCUGUCUGGUCUGUAACUGACGCUGAGGCUCGAAAGCAUGGGUAGCAAACAGGAUUAGAUACCCUGGUAGUCCAUGCCGUAAACGAUGAGUGCUAGGUGUUGGAGGGUUUCCGCCCUUCAGUGCCGCAGCUAACGCAUUAAGCACUCCGCCUGGGGAGUACGACCGCAAGGUUGAAACUCAAAGGAAUUGACGGGGGCCCGCACAAGCGGUGGAGCAUGUGGUUUAAUUCGAAGCAACGCGAAGAACCUUACCAGGUCUUGACAUCCUUUGACCACUCUAGAGAUAGAGCUUUCCCUUCGGGGACAAAGUGACAGGUGGUGCAUGGUUGUCGUCAGCUCGUGUCGUGAGAUGUUGGGUUAAGUCCCGCAACGAGCGCAACCCUUAUUACUAGUUGCCAGCAUUUAGUUGGGCACUCUAGUGAGACUGCCGGUGACAAACCGGAGGAAGGUGGGGACGACGUCAAAUCAUCAUGCCCCUUAUGACCUGGGCUACACACGUGCUACAAUGGAUGGUACAACGAGUUGCGAGACCGCGAGGUUUAGCUAAUCUCUUAAAACCAUUCUCAGUUCGGAUUGUAGGCUGCAACUCGCCUACAUGAAGCCGGAAUCGCUAGUAAUCGCGGAUCAGCAUGCCGCGGUGAAUACGUUCCCGGGCCUUGUACACACCGCCCGUCACACCAUGAGAGUUUGUAACACCCAAAGCCGGUGAGGUAACCCUUCGGGGAGCCAGCCGUCUAAG